UACGUAGGGUGCAAGCGUUGUCCGGAAUUAUUGGGCGUAAAGAGCUCGUAGGCGGUCUGUCACGUCGGCUGUGAAAACCCGGAGCUCAACUCCGGGCCUGCAGUCGAUACGGGCAAACUGGAGUGUUGCAGGGGAGACUGGAAUUCCUGGUGUAGCGGUGAAAUGCGCAGAUAUCAGGAGGAACACCGGUGGCGAAGGCGGGUCUCUGGGCAACAACUGACGCUGAGGAGCGAAAGCGUGGGGAGCGAACAGG
rnacentral:rRNA from 1 species